rnacentral:lncRNA from 1 species
UGGAGACACUAAUACAAAGAUGUGGGUGCUCAUUAGAGAAAUGAGUUCACUGAAUUGACCUACAAAAAGAAAUCUUAUGAAGUCUUACUUACAUGUCAAAAGAUGACUCUCUUAGUGGGAGUUGUGCAACUAAUCCUUUGACCUGAGAUCACCAUAGUAUCCUGUGCACAUAAAUCCAUAUUUUGGUUUCCACUUGUGGAGUGAUUGAUUAUAACCCUAUUUGAUUUUGAUGAGCACAAAGCCAUUGAGUAUAUUUUAUGUUAUACUAAUGAAUUCAAUCCAGCAUAUCAGGCAAAAUUUGUAAGA